rnacentral:rRNA from 1 species
UACGUAGGGGCGAGCGUUAUCCGGAAUUAUUGGGCGUAAAGAGCUCGUAGGCGGUUUGUCGCGUCUGCCGUGAAAGUCCGGGGCUCAACUCCGGAUCUGCGGUGGGUACGGGCAGACUAGAGUGAUGUAGGGGAGACUGGAAUUCCUGGUGUAGCGGUGAAAUGCGCAGAUAUCAGGAGGAACACCGAUGGCGAAGGCAGGUCUCUGGGCAUUAACUGACGCUGAGGAGCGAAAGCAUGGGGAGCGAACAGG